GUUGCUUCCUUGAUAAUGGAGUGGCCAUUUUAAUUUAUUAGUCACUGAUAAUAAUGAGAAGCAUAUAUAAAAUAAACUGCCAGUUUUAAACAGCAUGAUGUGCUUCAUAGCAUUGUGCUACCUGCCUCCUGGUAAAUUC